rnacentral:rRNA from 1 species
GACGAACGCUGGCGGCGUGCUUUACACAUGCAAGUCGAGCGGAAAGGCCCUUUCGGGGGUACUCGAGCGGCGAACGGGUGAGUAACACGUGGGUAACCUGCCCUUGGCUUUGGGAUAACCUCGAGAAAUCGGGGCUAAUACCGAAUAUGACGCAUGGCCGCAUGGUCUGUGUGUGGAAAGGGUCACUACUUUGUGGUGGUCUGGCUGGGGAUGGGCUCGCGGCCUAUCAGCUUGUUGGUGGGGAGUGGCUUACCAAGGCGAUGACGGGUAGCCGGCCUGAGAGGGCGACCGGCCACACUGGGACUGAGACACGGCCCAGACUCCUACGGGAGGCAGCAGUGGGGAAUAUUGCGCAAUGGGCGAAAGCCUGACGCAGCAACGCCGCGUGAGGGAUGACGGCCUGGU